CACGUAGGGCGCAAGCGUUGUCCGGAAUUAUUGGGCGUAAAGAGCUCGUAGGUGGUUUGUUACGUCUGCUGUGAAAACCUAGGGCUUAACCCCGAGCCUGCAGUGGAUACGGGCAGACUAGAGGUAGGUAGGGGAGAAUGGAAUUCCCGGUGUAGCGGUGAAAUGCGCAGAUAUCGGGAGGAACACCGGUGGCGAAGGCGGUUCUCUGGGCCUUACCUGACGCUGAGGAGCGAAAGCGUGGGGAGCGAACAGG
rnacentral:rRNA from 1 species